rnacentral:snRNA from 1 species
AGUUUUGCGCAGUGGCAGUACUGUAGCCAAUGAGGGUUAUAUGAGGUGCGAUUAUUGCUAAUUGAAAACUUUUCCCAAAUAAUUUUAAGUCAAUGAAAGCACUUGAGAUUG